rnacentral:rRNA from 1 species
UACGUAGGGGGCUAGCGUUGUUCGGAAUCAUUGGGCGUAAAGCGCACGUAGGCGGAUUGCUAAGUCAGGGGUGAAAUCCUGGAGCUCAACUCCAGAACUGCCUUUGAUACUGGCGAUCUCGAGUCCGGGAGAGGUGAGUGGAACUGCGAGUGUAGAGGUGAAAUUCGUAGAUAUUCGCAAGAACACCAGUGGCGAAGGCGGCUCACUGGCCCGGUACUGACGCUGAGGUGCGAAAGCGUGGGGAGCAAACAGG